AAGAGCAGACAGCCACAACUCUGACAGCAUGGCUCGUGUUUAGUGGUGCCUCUUUAGUUAGUUUGUGAGAGAGACUCAACUGAGGUUUUUUUUUUUCUUGCUUUCUAUCUUUGAAAGUAUGUAUUACUGAUCCAUUCAACUUUUAGAUUCUCCAAAGAAAAUUCUUUCCUAGGAAAGGUGAGAGAGCUACAAGAAGAUGUAGCUAAAAUGAGUUUCAUUUUGGGUUCUGCAGUGGCAGUGGCAGCCUCGGCAACGGGAUGCAGGCAGCCAUGGCAACGGGAUGCAGGCAGCAUGGCUUCAGAAAUGAGCUCUUCACCAAGAUUUGAAAGAACUCUUCGUGCAUCUUAGUUUAUAAUUAUGGCCCAGCUCUUGGGGGCACUUCACAGCUGAGCAUCUCUCUCCAGGUUCCCUUCCUCAGCUGCAAUAUUGGAAACACAUCGCAAAACAGAAGCAACUUGCUUUUCUUUCUACAAUGCAUAGAAGACCAUCGUCUGCAGUUUCUCCAACUCAGAAUUGGAAAAAUCAUAAACUCGUAACAAAAAAUAAUCUUAGAACUUCAGACCAGGAGUGAGGAGACAGCCUGUGACUCCACUUCUGCCCAGAGAGCCAGACACAAGGCACAAGCGAGUGUCAAUACCAACAGCAUCACAGUACCAGGCUAUGCACAACCCCUUGAUUUCUCUCCACAGCGUCCACCGUGAAUGCCAACCUAUUCCUGUGAAACACAUUUUGAGGAGAAUAAAGACAAUACCAUGGAAUCCCAGGGGUUGAUUGACCAAAGCUGCAGACCGACAGACAGGCCUGCCUUCAGUGGCUGGAAAAGAUGGUUAAGGCUUAUUCUAAUUGAAAAUCGACAUCCAUUGUGAACAGAGAGGUCAGCGGGCUCUCAUACAAACACUACAACAUCGAGUUUUGCAGUCCUGGUGAGAGGUCCCUUCCCCCAUCAUCAUUACGCUGCGUGGCUCAGGUGAGGCUGACUCACUCCCAGCAGCUGGGGUUGUCAAGACAUGGAAGCACGGCGCAUCAGGUGUUUCAUUUCUCUCUGAGGACGGAGACAGACCCAGCUGAAUCAGUGAAAAAAAAGCUCCCAUGAGAUUUCGAAGAAUUCUGACAAAAGAGGCCUUCCUUUCCCCAGAAACUGAGCUUCUAGAUCAUCAUAAGCCUGCCUCUUCCAGUUACUGUCUCUACUCCCCAGAUGAGGGAAAUUGAUGUUAGAAAGAGAAGAAAACAUUGCCGAGAAAGGCAAAUAGUUGAAGGUACUCUGAUAACACCGUUGGUGGUUUGAUUUGUUAAAACAAGGUUUUACUGCAUAGCCCUGACUGGCUUUGAACUGUUGACAGUCCAUUUGCCUCAGCCUCCCAACUAACUAGGAUUAUAGGGAGGUAUGAGCCGUUAUGGUUAGUUUGUAGAUGUUUUAAAAUUUUAAUAUAGGAUAUUUCAUUUCAUCAAAUUACAGAACAACUAAGAAGCUCUCACUUUGAGGUUUUUUUUUUUUUUUCCUCUCAAAAGAAAUUCCUGCUUCUGGCUAGUGUGUGUGAUUUGCAGGCAUCCACUGGUAUGAAUGGAAUCUUUGAACCUUGUGCUCAAAAGCAGAGCGCUUUGUACAAGGCUGGAGGGCAAAGUCGAAGAAAGGUAGUGGGCCUGGCUCUGGACAGGCUCAAUGGUGUCAUGUGCUAGUUAACUUCUCGGAUUCCCUAGCUGAGUGGCUUCCUUCUAAGCUUUGAUGACUCAUGCUUGGGUGAGCUGAGCUCCUGCGGUUGCCGAGCCUCUGAUUAGCUCUUCUGCAACAGCACACCUACAGACCCAGACUUCUCCAUUUGCCGUCGUUGAGCCCUUAGGCUCAGAUAUGCUCCUGGAGUUCCCAGUGUGGUGAUCAAAUACUCUUUUCUCUCUCUCUCUCUCUCUCUCUCUCUCUCUCUCUCUCUCUCUCUCUGUCUCUCUCUGUCUCUCUCUGUCUCUCUCUCUCCCCCCCUUUCUCAUUUCUUAGGGUUUUGUUAUUUAUAACUUUAAAUCUAGAUUAAUGUGUUUCUUGUGUUUCAUCAAGUUACAGUCAAACGUGUUGCUGAGUGAGUAUUAGAAAUUACCAAUUUUUUUUCUGUACUGUUUUGGCUUUGAGUGUGUAGUAGGUGUAUUGUGCUGGACCUGGAUCUGACUGUCUUUUGGGAAUCUUCGUACCGUGGCCUUAUUCACAGGGCUGCUUCUGUCCCAUCAGCCUUCCCUCUGGUCUGGUGGGACAUGUUUCAUGGGCAGUGAUCCCUGUGUACAUUGCCAUUCCUUCCACUUUGUCCACAGCCAACACCCUUUGCAAACAGCUCUUUAUUUAACCUUCCUUAAGUUGUCCUAUUCUUAAACCCUGAAUGCAACCUUUCUUGCCAUUGUCCCAACUGAUAGCAGAUUAAUCAUUGUUCCAGUGACACAGUAGAUUCUGACUGACAGUAAGAUGCUCUCCAAAGGACUGACAUUCUCACUUUUAAUUACAUCUACCGCACACGCGUCAAAACAUUUCAACAUACUGCCCAAGGGUUCCCUCCCCUAAACAUGAACAAUAUUUGUCUAUUGAGGAGAAAUUAAAUUUAAAACAAGCUAGAAGCUUGUUUCCCCUGACUCAUUUGUCAAGUAUAACAGGACUUGAGCAUCUAUAUAUGAAGAACUACUUGCUCACCUCAGAAUUUCUUUUUAAUUAUUUUUUAUUUAUUUUUAUUUAUUUUUAAUUUUUUUUACCUCAGAAUUUUUUAACCAGGGGAAAUAUUGUUUUUAAAUUUUCCCUUGGUCAAUUUAAAUCAUAGAUAAAGAUUUUAAAGUAGCACAAGAAAAAGACGAUUAAGAAUAAAACUUGGGGGUGGGUGUAAUGUGCGUUUCCAGCCUCUUAUUUUCUUUCUACUCUUUCUCGUCUCUGUUCCUUUGCGCAAUGGUGAAGGCCUGAAGUGCUAGUCCAUUCUUUCUCAUUAUCAAUCUCCUCGCUUCAACCGGCAGUGUUCAGUGUUAGCAUUCUUGAAACUGUUGCUUGUGGGGCGUGUUCAGUGGUACUGAUAUGGUGUUUUUAGUUGCAUACUGGGAAUGAAUCGCAGUUUGGCUAUUUCCCCCAGUAGCCAGUAAGAAAACACAUUUAAAAAAAAGAGAGAGAGAGAGAGAGAAACCUAUCAACAAUAGUACCAAAGGGCAUAAAACAUUUAUGCCUAACCUUAACUAAAAAUGUUCUUGGUACAAAUGAAGACAACUCUAUAACUUAUUGAAAGCAUACAGAAGAUGAACAAUGUAACAAAGGCAACAUAGCUCUCUGAACCGCCCCUUGGCUGGCAGGCAGAGGAGCACAGCAGACGCCAGCACAUGGCUCUUGGCCUGACUCAGGACUGGAAAGUUAUUUGACUACUAUGCACUUUGGUUUCUGCAUCUUGAAACCAGGAGAAAGAAAAAUCUGUUCUCCACAGGACUAUUGUGAGAGUCGAGUCAAUCACUGUAAACAAAAUGUUUAGAAGUGUGUGGCACAUCGCAAGCCCUUGCUGUAGGUUCAGUAGUUAUUUUCACCAUUUCUUACGUCAACCCCCAAUUCCAGCACCAUUUUUACAAUCAUGGCCAUCAGAGAGGCUAGCCACUCACCUUGUGUCAGUCACACUGUGCAUGACUGGAUUCCUGCUCUGAUCUAUCCGACUCAUGCUUUGAAGAUAAGGCAGAGAUAGUCAUUCUGACUUGGGCAGUCAUUCUAGAGUUCUUCUGAAAGAAUAAACAGAAAAUUUAAAAAGAAAACACAAAAUGGGAGAUUGUAUCAACAAUGCCAAUGUUUCUGUGAAAAUAGAAAAUAAUUAAGGUGGUGGUGGUAUGUUCUUUAUUGUGAUUGUGGGAUUCAUUGUGCAACUGUAAUCCUAGCUAAAAUUAUUAAAACUUUACAUUC
rnacentral:lncRNA from 1 species